GCCAAUGGCCCGGGUUGCCAGAAGAGCGGCCCUAUGGGUUGUAAACUGCUUUUUUACCGGAGCAAUAAGUCUACGGCGUAGACUGAUGAGGAGUACCGUAGAAUAAGCAUCGGCUAACUCCGUGCCAGCAGCGCGGUAAUACGGAGGAUGCGAGCGUUAUCCGGAAUUUAUUGGGUUUAAAGGGUGCGUAAGGCGGCCUUUUUAAGUCAGCGGUGAAAUUUUGCAGCUUAACUGUAACAGUGCCGUUGAUACUGGGGAGCUAGGAUUUGGUUGCUGUGGGUGGAAUGUGUGGUGUAGCGGUGAAAUGCUUAGAGAUCACACAGAAUAUCGAUUGCGAAGGCAGCUCACAAAGCCAAGAUUGACGCUGAGGCACGAAAGUGUGGGGAUCAAACAGGAUUAGAUACCCUGGUAGUCCACACUGUAAACGAUGAUAACUCGCUGUCGGCGAUACACAGUCGGUGGCCAAGCGAAAGCGAUAAGUUAUCCACCUGGGGAGUACGACCGCAAGGUUGAAACUCAAAGGAAUUGACGGGGGCCCGCACAAGCGGAGGAACAUGUGGUUUAAUUCGAUGAUACGCGAGGAACCUUACCCGGGCUCGAACGGUGCAUGAAUGGACAAGAGAUUGUUCAGACCUUAGGGACAUGUAUCGAGGUGCUGCAUGGUUGUCGUCAGCUCGUGCCGUGAGGUGUCGGCUUAAGUGCCAUAACGAGCGCAACCCUUGUCAUUAGUUACCAUCAGGUAGAGCUGGGGACUCUAAUGAGACUGCCACCGUAAGGUGAGAGGAAGGGGGGGAUGACGUCAAAUCAGCACGGCCCUUAUGUCCGGGGCGACACACGUGUUACAAUGGGGGGUACAGAGGGCAGCCAUCCGGCGACGGAGCGCCAAUCUCAAAAACCCUUCUCAGUUCGGAUUGGAGUCUGCAAUUCGACUCCAUGAAGUUGGAUUCGCUAGUAAUCGCGCAUCAGCCAUGGCGCGGUGAAUACGUUCCCGGGCCUUGUACACACCGCCCGUCAAGCCAUGGAAGCUUGGGGUGCCUGAAGUUCGUGACCGCAAGGAGCGACCUAGGGCAAAACACAGUAAACAUGGGGCUAAGUCGUAACAAGGUAACC
rnacentral:rRNA from 1 species